rnacentral:lncRNA from 1 species
AAAGCAGAUGUCUUAUGUUCGUGAUGCUUAUUAGGUUAUGGCAGCUCGGAGGAAAUACAAAAAUGACCGUUUGUCCCGGUCAUAUUUCCAAACUAGCAUUUGACCAUUUUAAAAAAAAAUUAAUAUUGAAAUAGAUAUAUACUUUGUGAUUGCCACUUUUACCCCCAUCUUCAACCAAAUCUCAGAGAAAAGGGAAAGGAAGAAAGAGAAUUUCUCGCAAUCGACGAUAGCAGUCGGAUCCGAUCGAGAGUUGCCAUGUUUAUAGUCUAUCCAACGUCAACAACGACAAAACUCGACUAUAAUCUUCAACAAGGUUAGUUUUUAGGGUGAUUAAGACAAUAAUUUUUCAUUUUGCAAUGUUGUGGAAGCGAUUUCUCACCGUUUCCGCAUGAGAAACCGACUGGGCCGAAUGUUUAGCCCAGCGUUUGGGACAACUGGCCAAUUUCAUGUUUAUUUAUUUUUUCCAUAUAUAUUUGAUUGGAUACACAAAAAACUGAUGAUUGAAUAUAAAACAAAUUCCAAAAAGAAAUGUUCUUGUUAAAACAAAGAUUGUUUUGUGGGUCAGAAAUAAUGGCAACAAACAAUAUCAUUUUAUAUUUCUGAGCAAAUGGGAAAAGGAUUAAAACUUGAUUUGUAGAUAGAAGCAGACCAAAGCAACCCCUGGUCAAUCUUUGUGAAAGCGCACCUGCUACUGACCAACCUCCUAAACAUAUGCCUAACCCCGAACUUAAUGAUAAGGGAUCUAUAGGAUGGAGGUCUACCAGAUAGUGUAGGACCCGUUGACCUAGAAAUAGAAGCCAGUGUCCACAUAUCAUAAGUAUGAGGUUUAUUUCGACAUACAUUCAUUUAGGUGAGUUAGGUCAUAUCCGUCUUAGAUGUCAUCAGUACCUGAAUAAAAGGAAAAACAUGAACUUGAAAAAGAACAAAUUUCAGGUGUCAGUUAAUCAGAUUAGAUUCCUUACUAGUCAAGUGAAUCGUUUAACCAAAUUGGUGACACAACUGUUUGGGAGCUGUUUUCCCACUAGACAGGUUUGGGUGAAAAAGAGUGAUCUGUCGAAUCUUGUAAUAGAUCACGGUGCUUUUAAAGGAAAGAUCAUGUACCAAGCUGAUUAGGUAAUUUUUUUAUGCAUGCCUAUUCUUAACUGCCAGAUGAUUUUUGCAUGCAUCACAUUAUUUGUUGGAUUUUUUUUUUUUUUUGGGUUUCAUGCAUGUGCACUAUUUAGUUUUGUUUUGUGCGCUUGACCUUAUUCUUUUUUGUGGGUGAGGCGUUCAUUUUUUUAAAAUGAAAAACAUAAAAAAAAUAGAAAAAUACCAAAAAAAAUAGUUGGUUAUGGAAAAUCCCUAUAGCUUGACAUACAAUGAUUGAUCUUACAAGUUGUGAUGAUGUAUGAGCUAAAAUUGAUAAGCUUUAGCAAAAUUUCCAUUACUUGUUUAUGUCAUUUUUGAUUUCUUAGUAUAAGUGUCUUCAUGUACUAUUUGCACUGCACACAUUAUGAAUUUGUUAGUGGGACUCUAUCACAGAUUUGAGAUUUGGGAUGACUGUCACAUGUUAAUGGGGUGACUUUGAGCAUGAAUUGACCAAAUUUAGUAGACCUAACCUCAAAAAGAUUCUCCCACGUAAAAGUUCAUUAUCUUAGUAUUCUUCUUCGAGACCUAUUACCGAGGAUGUGAGAUUUGGGAUGUCGGCCACAUGUUAAUAAGGUGACUUUGAGCAUGAAUUGACGAAUUUAGUAAACCUAACCCUAAAAAGAUUCCCUAAUGUAAAAGCUCAUUAUCCUAAUAUUCUUUUUCGAGAUCUAUUUGACUUGAGCAAUUAAUUCUGCGAGGUCUCUUAAAAUCUGGUGCCUAUGGUCAACUGACUUGAGUUUACCGGUCUAAAGAUCUAUACAGAGGUCCAUUAUAGACUCAAACAAGGGUCCAAGUCUUGGAAUAUAAAAUUUGAUCAAACCAUUAAGACCAAUGAUUUUGACUAAAAUCUGGAUGAACCCUGUGUGUACAAGCGAAUACAAGGGAAGAAAGUAGUUUUUUUUUAUUCUUUAUGUGGAUGACAUUGUACUCAUUGUAAAUUAUGUAGGGACAUUGUCAUCUAUAAAGCGAUGAUUGUUACAAUAGUUUGAUAUGAAGAACUUGAGAGAAGCCAGUUAUGUUUUGAAAAUCCGUAUCUUAUGAGAUAGGAAAAACAAAAGGAUUGUAUUAUCCCAAAUUUCAUAUAUUGACAAAAUAUUGUCUAGAUUUGCAAUGCAAAAUUCAAAAAAGGGACAACUUCCUUUUAGAUAUGGAACUCAACUAUCUAAGGAGAAUUCUCCCAUGACUAUAACAGAGAUAAAUUACAUAUGGAAGAUUCCUUAUGAUUUAGCCAGGAAACCUCAUGUAUGCUAUACUUUGCACAAGAUCGGAUAUUUUUUAUGUUGUUGGUAUUGUUAGUUGUUAUUAGUCUAAUCCAAGACCAAAACAUUGGGCAUCUGUGAAGCAUAUACUCAAACACCUUUGGAGAAUGAGAGAUUAUAUGCUUGUUUAUUCAGGAUAUGAACUAAAUACUAUUGGAUACACUGAUUCCGAUUUUGAAUCUGUUCGUGACUCUAAAAAGUCUACGUUGGGCUCAGUAUUUACACUGGAAGGUGAAGCUGUGGUAUGGAGGAGUAUCAAACAAUCUUGUAUUGUUGAUUUCAACAUAGAGGCAGAAUAUGUAACAGCUUGUGAAGCUGUUAAAAAUUUUGUAUGGUUCAAGAAGUUUCUUUUGAACCUUAACAUGUUACCUUUGGCAAUGAGACCCAUAACGCUUUAUUGCGAUAAUAGUGGAGUGGUUGCCAAUGCUAAAGAACCAAAGAGUCAUCAGUAGGGUAAGCACAUCGAGAGGAAAUAUCACCUUUUUAGAGAGAUUGUUCAUCGAAGAGACGUGAGAGUUAGUAAGAUUGAAUCAGCAAAUAAUCUUGGAGAUCCAUCCACCAAGACCUUGCCAACCAAGGCUUUUGAUGGGAAUCUUGAGAGGAUGUGUAUUCUUGAUAUGUCAUACAUACUUUAAAAAAGGGCAAGAGGGAGAUUGCUAGUUUGAUGCCCUUUCUUCGAGUAGUAUUUUGUAAAAUGAUAUUAUGAAUUGACGUUCAUUUAUCUGCAUGUUAUAAUUUGAGGAAAUUAUCUAAGGUUCCAUGAUAAUAUAGGAUGUCACAAAUUGUAUACUCGAUGGUUCGAGUAUAGUAACACACAAUUCGUGAUGUGAUUAAAAUAUGUUGUUCACAAUCAAUACAAAAAUUUAGUUGAUUUAUGUUGAUAAGAUUGCAUUGUUCUUAUUAAGAUUUGUCUAGAUUUUGGAAUAAGAACAAUAAUGUGUUUCAAUGCACAUUGAAUGGGAUCGCGUAGAUGACUCAUUUGUGAGUGCUUGAAGUGAGGCUUGAUUAUUAAAUAUGUCACCUAAAUUCUGAGCAAGUAAUGUACCUAUGAUUGCAAGUUCAAGUUCUUUGAGGUACCAAAGAGUGAAGUCUUAAAUAAGAGAUUUGUCUCGGUGCUUUGGAAUUCGGGCCGAAACUAUUAGAGAUCGUGUAGUUGUGAUAGUGAAAUCUAUUAAUCAUUGAGAUGAGACAAUUGUCACUCUAAGGUAUUCUCCAUAGGCAAAUUAAACCUGAGCUAUGUAGUCCAAUGAUAAGAUCGUUGGACUUUAUAUUGUGAUUUGAUCACAACAAGUUUGUCGUAUGAAAAUAAAACUUAGAGGUUAAUAUAUGUUAAAGGGCAAAACGGUCAUUUUGUCAAUUUCAACAUAUUGACGGUCAAAUGGGGGUUGACUUGUGAAACGAUAAUCAAAGGAUAUUAUUAUUGGAUCAUAAUUUGCUUCUAUAACUAUCACUUGACUCGAGAGUGCAAUCUCAAUUUUUUAGUAGAAUGAGCCGAGAUUAAUAGGUAUAUAUCAAUUGGUCUAGAGUUGACCCAAUUAGAAACAUCAACUGGAGCUUGAGUCAUGUGAGUCCGGUUAGGUCCCUCUCUUGGUUCCAAUAAAGGUGGUGACUUAAUUGGUCUACUACAAUCAAGUCAAAGGAAAUUUGUGCAAUUUUCAAACCCUGAUUGAGUAUUAUAAAUAUGCCCUUUAUGUGCACAUUUUUAUAUGCUUUUAGGGUUAACCACUUUUUCAUUUUCCAAAAAGAGGAAGGCACUAGGAGAACAAAUGAGAAGAUCUAAGAGAGGAAGCAUUUGACUAGGUCAUUAAAAACUCUUUCAAGGUUAUCAUAUUUCCUUUUAUGUCUGAGGAUUUAAAACAUCUAAUCAUCUCAGGGUUAUCUAACAUUCUUAUUCAUAUGGGUUUAAUCUUCAAAGGACAAUUAAUUUCCAAUUGUGAUGAUUAAAUCUCAUAACUAAAAAUGAUAUAGUAAAGGAGUCAGGUUGGGAGGAGAUCCAAAAAGAAACCCACAAGAUCGAAGCUGAUCUCGAUUUCAAUCUAUCUUCUUAUGCUAAGCUCAGUGCUCGUUUCACCCAAGGAGGUACGAUGCUUUCUUGUGGAUAUUGGAUUGCAGUUUUUUAUUUUUGGUUUCUGUUGCAUAUGAAUUUUGCAUUUUUUCCUUUUUUAUUUUUAUUUUUAAAUGAAAUUGAAGUGAAAUUUUGGAGCUAAUUGUUUCAUUAUACAUUGAAUUUUACCAAUAUUCACAUUUUACUUAUUAUACUUUGAAUUUCUUUCAAAAUGAUCACUGAACUUGCACAAGAUGCACUUCAUCCAUCACCCACGAAGUUAUGGUUACAUUACAUGAGAAGAUUAAGUGGCUAAACGAUAUCUAAUGUGGCAGGUUGACAAAGUUAAGCUUGCCAAAUAAACAAAACUUGGCUGCUUCCAUUACACAUUAAACUUUUUCCGUUGUUUACAUUUUAUUCUUUGAAUUGCUUUUAAAUGGUCAUUGAACUUGCACGAAUUGCACUCCAUCCAUACCAAACUUGCCAAAUAAUCCUAUAUCAUAUGCUAAAUUCCUACGACCUGCAAAUUGCUUGAUUAUAAGGCAUAACAUGCAAUUGAUAUUUAGAUUUCAUCGUCGAUCGGAGAAUUUAUUAACUAAUUUAGCAAUAAAUUCAGUAGCUAAAUUAAUCUUGGUGGAAAUUACAAGAAUCUCGACUUUUAAAGAUUUCAGUGCAAAUAUCAGGUGGGGAUAGUUUUUUAUGCACAUUUCAGGUACUUUAAUCACAAUCCAAUUUGAAACCCUAAAAUUCAAAUUCAAUUUCUCAAUCUUCUCUCUACAACUCUUUCUCUCUCUUAUCUUCUUUUCCUUCUCUCUCUGAAUGUCGACGAUUGUUCAAACUUCGAUGAUCAACAAUGAAAGAGCUGCUCCCAUGUCCCAUUCUCUUCUCUCUCUUCUCCAUGCUUUGUCAUCGUUCCCAUCUAUCUAUAUUCUCUCUUUGCUUUAACCUAGGAUCUAUUUUCUUCGUUAAUAAUUAGGGUUUCCCUUUCUACCACUUCGUAUGUAUUCAAUUUCAAUGAGCAGGCGAAAACUAUGAGUUUUGUAUUUGAUUUGUUAGUAGAUCUUACAGUGGCUGUGGUGGUGGUUGAAAAUGAUGGUGAUGCGGAUGGCGGUUCAUUUUUUGGUGAUGCGAUCUGGUGGUUGAUUUUUUUGGUUUUUGCUUCGAUAGUUGUGCAAUGGUCGUCGGUGGUGGGUUUGUGGCACCAUUGUGUGGGUGUGAUGUGAAUUAUGUGUUUGACUAUUUGUGGAAGCCGAUUGUGUUGGUGCGACGUGGGUGGUGGUGUUAUUACAGUUUGUAGUGCUUGCUAGCGGUGAUGGUGCGUUGUGGAUGUGGUGUGGUUUGCGAUGGCAGUGGUGCAAGUUGGUGGUUUGGGUUGAUUGUCUUAUUUUUUUAAUUUUUGGUUGGCGAUGGACUAUGACAUUAAAAUUUGAUGACCUGUGACUAAAAAAUAAUUUGUGACCUCAAUGACUUAGUCUGUGAGCCAUAAAAUUUUUGACUUGUGACCUCAAAAUAAUUUUUCUCCUACAAAAUUUUUGAUUUGUGACCUUGAAAUAAUUUGUAAUCAAUUAAUUUGAUGAUUUGUGACCUAUAAUUAUGAAUCUGGGACCAUUAAGUGUUUAGUUGUGACUUUAUUUUAUAUAUAUGUUUAAUUAAUUAAAUACAUACUUGAAUUUUGAAUUUUUAAACUAUUUACUUGAUUUUUGAAAUGGUGUAAAGAAUACACCUGAGAUAUAAUUUUUCCCUUAAUCUCAAUAAGCAUUGAAGAUGGGGCUUUUGAAGUCAAAUCAAUCCAAAAUCAACAUGAAUAUUUUGAGGACCCAAGUGAUCAGCUAUGUAGGACAUAUUGGGAAAAGAAGCACUAGUAGAAAUAAAACAUUAUCUUAAUUCCGAAUUGGGUCCGUAAAACCAUUUUAGAAGGAGAACACCGUGACGUACGUCGAAUUUCGGCCAUUCGAGUCGUUUAGACAUUGAAAACUGAUUUUUAAUAUUUUGACACUAUUUUUGUCAAUUCGUUUAUUUUGGGUUUUAUACAAUUCUAGUUUGUUUAAACUUCUUUUUCAUUAUUUUUAGUUGUUCUAAACUUCGUUUCCAUGUAAACUCUUAUAAAUAAGGGCUUAGUUCGUUUUUUCAUUAUCUUUGAUUAAUAAAAUUCGUGAGUUUAUUUUUUUCAUUAUUUGGUGGAUUCCAAAUUUAUUGUUUUUAAGGUUUUCGCUUGAAUUCUUUGUUUCACGCGGCAUCAUCAGCAGAGCACUAAAAUCUGAAUUUAAUUUCCGAAAUAUACCCAAAGAUGACUUAUUGACAAUCUCAAGUUAUGUUCUAGAGCCUAAACUCUAUUUCACCAAAAAAAUCACAGUGUUCAUAAUAUGGUUUACUCAAGGCAAAAAGAAAAUCAAUAACUAAAACUUAAAUCCUUUUAGUUCAUUGUUGAUUCAAAAUUGUGAAAAUCAAUCCUUUCAUUGCAAAUCUGCAUCUAUAUAGAUGAUAUUUUGCCAGCUAUGCAUGUCAUAUAGAAGUAAUGCCAUCAAGAGAUAUUCUGCCAACUCAUAAAACAACACAGAUUUUGUCACAAAAAUCUCCCAAAAAAUCUUGAUUUAGCUUAGUUUCAUCAACCAAACGAACACCAACCGAGCUUUACUUGACCCACAACUCCCACUUGGUUGCCACAAGUCUUCACCCUACAAAGGAGACACUUGGUUAUUGGUUUCCAAGCCACAAAGGAAGAGGAAAUAGAAUAGCAAUUAGAACCUCAAGGAAGAAGAACCAAAUCGACCAAAAAACUCACGUGUUUCCUCUCUUUCUCACAAGACCAACAAAUAAGAAAAUGGCUAGGGAAUAAGUGUAUAUAUAAUGGGUUACUUUAGGUUAAUUAAUGGGCCAAAGCGUAACCAUGCCAACAAUCCAAAUAACCAAUAUAUCAUCCCAAUGCAAAGCCACAGUUUGGGCCAUCCAAAAGUAUUGGGCCACGAGCAACAUUAACUCAAUUAAGUUGCUUCAAAUGGCAUCGAGUUGUUUCCAGGUCGAGCUAUCACUAGGGUGUCGAUAUAACUUAUCUAACAUCGGUUUAAUAUCAUUGCCCGAAUUUAUUGGAUAUCAAAAAACCUAAUAAAUUUAAUUAUAAUGUCGAAACACAUAUGUAAUUUAAAUAUCAAUUGCGUGUUUAUAAUUAUAAUUAAGCAAUCUGCAGGCUGUAAGAAUUUAGUAUCUGAUAUAGGAUUAUUGGCAAGUUUAGUGAUGAAUGGAGUGCAACUAGGGCAAGUUCAGUGACCAUUUGAAAGCAAUUCAAAGUGAAAUGAGUAAAAUAUGAUGAUGGAAAAAGUUUAAUGUGUAAUGGAAGCAGAAAAGUGUGCUUGUUUGGCAAGUUUAAUUCCUUCAAAGUUUCAAAUCAGAUGCUAUCUGGCCACUUAAGCUUCGUAGGCAAUGGUAACUUUGUGGGUGAUGAAUGAAGUUCAACCUGUGGAAGUUUAGUGACCAUUCCUAAGCAAUUCAAAGUACAGUGAGUAAAACGUAACAAUGAACAAAGUUCAAUGAUUAAUGAAACGAUUAACUCGAAUUUUGUCAUAAUGAGGUUAUUUCGUGCAUAUUAGUGGACGUGUUUUUUGAGGCUUUUUGUUUGCUGAUUUCUUCAUACAAAUUAUUCAUGGAGAUUCAUGAAAUUAUGCAAGUUUACUUUGAUUUUCAUGUUGGAAAUUUGUAACUGCUUUAAGUUGUCUUGGUGUACUUAGGAUGUCUCUUUAUCUUUAGCUCUUAGAGAAACUAUGUUGAAGGCUUAGACCUAGUGCUGAAUGCUGAGUCUUGAAUAAGAAGUGUAAAUGGUAAGUUAAUUUAAUCUUUGCAAAGGAUUGUUAAGCAGACAAGUAAUGUGAAUUCAAUAAAUUUAGGAUUGAGAAUAUGCUAAGAUCCAAGGUCAAGAGGGAAACAGCCCAAAGUGACCUUAUACUAUAAUCUAUAUGCUAUCGAUCAAUGGAUUGAUACGAUUUAAAAUUUAACACUAAAAUAUUCAGGUUGUUUGAUUACAUAUUUGGUGCAUUUGAUCUUACGAUAGUUUCGAUUGGAAUAUCAUUCAUUUUAGCAGCAUUAUACAGCUCCUUAGAAAUCUAGUUUGGUCCUACUUGGAAUUUAUUCUUUUGGAAGAAAAUUAGGCUGUUUAAUGUGUUUGUGUGUCUUUGUACAGUCACACUUCUUUUUGUGUGUGAGAUUGAUAAGUGUGGGUUUUAGUACUAUUCUGGGACAUUAAGCUUAGAUAUUUGUGAGUUUCAUUUGUGAUUUAUUACUUAAUUUAGGUUUUCUUCUUUUUUUUUUUUUUUUUUUUUUUUUUUUUUUUUUUUUUUUUUUUUUUUUUUUUGUAGGUGAAAACUUGACUUUGAACGAUAAUUAGAAGGUAUUUAAUUGUUCCGAUGCCUAGGCGCCACCUGAGCCAUUUUUAAUUGUUUUCAAAAUCUCAGGAACCAAUGCUACAAUUUCCUUUAGGUUUUAGUUUAAAACAUUCAACCAAACACAAGACUUGGCUAUUCUUGGAAUUUUAGGUCUCUCGUUUUUCUUUCUUUUUCCUUUUCCUUUCACCUAUAUUUUUUUUUUGGACAUUUGGGGAAGAUUGGAACUUGGAGAUGGUGCAUUAUCUUGGAGUAGAUAACCCAUUCCAUCAAUGUUUUGUAAAAAAUUGUUUGUUAUUUGUGAAUAUUUCAUGGAUAACUAAUUAUAUUUGUGAUUGGGGAUUAUUCAAACCCGGGUUAUGAUUUUCAACUUAUUAGUGAUUAAUAUUUCUCUUGAUUAAUAUGUUUAUUCCAUUGUGUUAAAUAUUUAUUUUGUUCUUUUUGAUUGUUUAGGUGUACAACUAAAUGAUUAAGUUGUUUCAAUGAAUGCUAUUUUGGGAUUAGUAGUACGUAAUAGUUAUUGAUUCUAAAACCUAGUAACAAUUACUUUUCAAUAGAUUAUGAAGAAUUUUCAAUUGAAUGUAUGUGGAUUAACACUUAAGUUGGUAAACCGAGCUUGCGAGUUUACCCUUAAUUCAAUUCAUCUUUUUUGUCAUAAUGCGUUUCUUAAAUUAAAUCGAGAGAGCUGUUCUAGGUUGUUUAAUAAAUAGGGUUGAGUAAAGAGCUUGUUUUAUUUGACUAACAUGUAAGAAGAGAUUGAGGUAAUUGAGCUUGUAAUUAUUCUCGAAUUGUUGUUAAUCUUGAGAAUGAAAAUAUAUAGUGGUAAUUGACAUGAAAAUCAUUCUCGUGGUGAUGAAAUAUCUCCCAAUCAUAUUUUUUCACAUUCAAUCAAGAUCCAAUUUGUUUAUUUCAAAUUUCAAGUCUUUUCUAAUUUAAAUUUAUCACUUUCCUUAGUUCAACAAACCAAACCCCCCCACCCCAAAUUUAAUCCAUUUCGUAUAUUAUUAUUAAUUUUACUUUUUAAUAUGUAAUUGACAUAAUUGAAUCAAUCCUCUGCGAGAAAUGACCCUUACUUGUCAUAAUACUAUUUAAGACGACACAUUUAAGUUAAGUAAGGAAAAUUAAUUGCAACGUAUCAGAGAUCAUUCCAAGACAUGACAUAAGCGAUAAAGUAAGACUGUACUCAAAUGUUUCAGGCUGUUUAUUAUAACAAUCUCAACUAAACUGUCCGUAGGGUGUUCUUUUUAUUUGCACCUGUCCAAUUGAAAUUAGGUCGUACAGUUCACAUAACUAUUAGCAGUAAAUUAGCCCAAAGAUCUGCCAAAUAAUAUUUUCGUAUCACUGACAUGAGGGUUAUGCUUGUAUAUAAUGGUCAUAUAUCACCCAACUCUACUUUAAUAAGCGAACUUGUACUAAUGCAAUGGAAAACGGCUAGAGAUGCAACUGAAAGACGAAGUUCCCUGAUGUCAUCUAAAAGAGCAAGCCCUCCAUGGGGCAGAGAAAAGAUUUGUUGUAAAUCAACUUCAAUACCUUUUCGUCUAUUGAUUGUGUAUCUGUUUUAUUUUUUUGUAAGUUUUUACAUAUUUAUUUAAAAUACGACAUUUCGAAUCAUGAGCGUUAAGGUACUUAUUUUUGCCUCUUAAGGAGCUUUUCUACGACAGAUAGAGCAACGCAUUUUCAGUUUUUCUGGGACAAAUAGAACAACACAUUUUCCGACUGCUUUUCCAAACAAGAAAUCCUCUAUUUAUAUCACGAGAUAAUUUAUUUCCAGUUCUUGCGCUUUUUAUGGUUUCUUAGGUUUUUAGGUUACGUGGAUGCUGGUUCAUCAACUUCUGGCUCCAGUAGGUCAUGGAAGUCCAUGGAAAUGGAGAUUCAAUCAUUGCUUCAGAAGCUACUGGAUACAAACGAUUCUAUGAGUCAAUAUGCAGCAUCUUUGGCCCCUACUACUACUACAGUUAAUAGCUUGCAAGAGACAGGGACAUGUUGCAGGAGAUUACCCAGGUUGAAUGCAAUCCUAUGUAAUUGUUUCAGCUGGUAGAAAUUUAUAAUAUGCAAUUCUUUCAUCUAGGACAAAGGAAAGGAUAAAUACAAGGGAAAAAUGAUGUUUGGUUAUAAAAAAGAUCAUUUCUUUACUACAGAAACAGAAAGGAAGCGGUCAUAUUGUGUAACAGAUACUCAGGCAGAAUUAUUAAGUAUAAGAAGUAAAAGAUUAUUGAUGGCUGUAAGCUACCAAGGUUACCGGUUUAAGAAUUUAUCCUUUGCAACUAUGCAAGCAUGUUUGUAUUUCUUCAUAAUAUUUGACCAUAUGUAGGGAAUGUAGCCCAAGAAGUCCAUGCACCAGGUAAAGAGUACUGUAUGUUGAAGUGAAUUUUGAGGAUCUAGCUAAAUGUAAUCAAGCCACUCUCAUUAAGGGAUUGUAUAGUUUGUCGGAUAUUUUAAUCCAAAACAAUGUCCCAAAUUCAUAGAUAAAAAAUCCGGGAACCUCUUUACCUCAUACAUUUGUGAUAAAUUUAAUGAUGCUCAUUUCUAGAAGAAUCUAGAAUUACUUGCCUACAAUAUCCUAGAAUUCCUUGGUAAGCAAGUAUAAUAAAAAAUUAGAAUUGUCUAGAUUCCACUAGAGUAACUUGGACAUCAAAAAAUCUUGUAUAGGUUGUAGACACUUGUAGAAUUCUCUAGAAGAUAUGAUAAGAGUCUAUAAAUAGGGCAUGAUCCCUCAUUUGUUUGCAAGAAAAAAAGAAGCUAGACAAAGCUCAAGCUAUUGUAAGCCAUCAUCAUUCUAAUAAAAUUCCUUUCUCCUACCCACUUUGUCCACCAAAUUACUUUCUACCAAAAUCUUUCAAACUAUUAACUUUCAAUAAAAAGCCAACUAUUUUUUACCUCCAAAAUUAUUCCAUACAAAACAUCCUCAAUCAUCCUAUCUCAUCACUACAACAACACAAAAAUUAUCAGUGGUAUCAGAGCCACGUUCGAUUGAUAUUGGGCAUACGCAUAUAUGAUGGCAGACGCUUUCCGCUCAUCAAUUCCUAUCCCAACAUUUAAUGGGGAUAACUAUGAUUUUUGGUCUAUCAAAAUGAAGACCUACUUUUGUGCUCAAAAUUUAUGGGAUGUCGUCAACGAUGGGUAUACUAACCCAGAUGACAUUUCCACUUUAACUUCCGCACAAAAGAAGGAACUUAAGGAGAAUCAACAAAAAGAUUCUCUAGCAUUACUUUCUCUACAAAUGAGCUUGACGGAUACAUAUUUUCCAAGAAUUAUGGGAGCCAAAACAGUGAAAGAAGCAUGGGAUAAGUUGAAGGAUGAGUUCUACAGCAGUAACAAGGUACGUACUUGCCGCCUUCAAAUUUUAAGAAGGAAUUUUGAAAAUCUAAAAAUGAAAGAGUUGGAAACUACAAAAGAUUAUUAUUCAAGAAUAGAUGAAAUAGUAAAUCAACUAAGGUCUUAUGGUGAUGAUGUUCCCGAAAAGAAGGUUGUUGGAAAAAUUUUAAUUACUUGCACAGAAAAAUAUGAUCCAAUUAUUGCAGCUAUUGAGGAAUCCAAGGAUAUAGAUGAAUUAACAGCUGCAGAAUUAAUGGGAUCAUUAGAAGCUCAUGAAAAAAGAUUAGAAAGGCGCUAUGAAAUGGAGAUAGAAAACGCUUUUCAAUCGAAACUUAAUAUGCGGUUUCAAAAAUCUAAAGAAGGUGGAAGAAAAUUUAAAGAGAAUUUGAAAAAUAAAGAAAU